GCCCGGGCCGAGCCCGCCCCGCCGCACCGACCAGCCACGGACCGCCCAAAAUGGCAGCCCCGGAAGUGAAGCUACGGAUGCUUGUCUCCUGUGGCCCUUUUUUUACAUCUUCCCAGCCUCUCCUCACAUCUGCACCACUCAAUAAGAAGUACACAGGUCCAAGUAGUUUCUUCACACAAAGCACAAAAAAUGCAAGUUUUUGACUUGAGGCAGCCUGGUGUCAUUCCAUCUCUACAGAUGUACGUUCUUUCUGAAUAUGACCAUUAGUAGACAAGAAGUCUCACGCCUGG